GAAAGACACUGCCUGGAAACCCUCACAUUCCCUUGCUUAGUCUGGUUGCAAGGGCUGCAUUUGAGGCUCAGAGGCAUCCCGUGUCUUUCAGAGAAAGAAGGAACUUCCCAAUUGCCUUGUCUUUCCCAAGUCACUUACUGAUUUCACUCGCUGACUGACAUAGAAAGCUUUCAUUCGAACAAGGAAAAGCUGUAAUCUUGUAUCCAUGUAGCAUCUCAUUCUCCCGCUUGGCUCUUUCUACCAGAGCAAAACGGAAUUCCUCCCCGAACUCCAUGUCCAAGGGUCCUCAAGGUCAGGCCACGUCUUCCUCCAUCAGUCUGCUCCACAGAGGGUUGGGAAUAUAUGUCCAGUGGAUGCUUUCAAAAGAAAAGUGCAAAAAGCGGGUGUUAUCUUAAAUUUUGCAGUUUUUCUUUUCAUGAGUAUUAUACAAAGUAUGCAUUUAAUAAAAUUAAUUUCUGAUGCUGUCACCAUGGAAAUAGUUGCUGCUUUCUUCUUUGCUUGAGGAAAUUUUAUAUUUUCAUGUUAGCACACGAGGUUUCUGGAG
rnacentral:lncRNA from 1 species